GGAGAGAUGUCCGAGUGGUUUAAGGAGCUAGUCUUGAAAACUAGUGACCCGAAAGGGCCUAGGGUUCGAAUCCCUAUCUCUCCGCCA
rnacentral:tRNA from 1 species